UACGAAGGGUGCUAGCGUUGUUCGGAAUUACUGGGCGUAAAGGGCUCGUAGGCGGCCAACUAAGUCACACGUGAAAUCCCCAGGCUUAACCUGGGAACUGCGUGUGAUACUGGAUGGCUUGAAUCCGGGAGAGGGAUGCGGAAUUCCAGGUGUAGCGGUGAAAUGCGUAGAUAUCUGGAGGAACACCGGUGGCGAAGGCGGCAUCCUGGACCGGUAUUGACGCUGAUGAGCGAAAGCCAGGGGAGCAAACGGG
rnacentral:rRNA from 1 species